rnacentral:sRNA from 1 species
UCAAAAAAUCAAAAAAAUAAUUUGACGCUUCGUUUUCUAUUGUUGUCUCCAUACUUUUUCUCUCUCCCCCCGCCAACGUUUUCGGGUUUGCGUGUGUGUGUGGGCGUUAAGUCGGCGGCGCAGUUGAAAAGAGAGAAUUCUCUCAAUUCUUUUAAGCUGAGUUCGUUCGUGGUGGUGGUUGUUGCCACAGACUCGCCACUUAUAACACGAUGCCCAGGCCGCAUGCAUAUCGUAGGGCGCGCAACAGAGGAUCUGGCGAUACCGACGUGUCCGCCAUUUCGCAAGAGAUGGACGAGAUGCCCUCACGUUUCAGCUCCACAUCACCAGAUAGCGAAGAUUCGCGCGAACAGAGCACAAGCACUGCCUCCACUGAGGAGGAUGAGAGCCCCUAUCGCCAGAGCCUUCGCCGCGAAAAAAGCAUAUUGGCCUCAUCGCCGCUGUCCAUGGAAUAGCGUUUCCAUAAGCAGAUGAACAGAACCAAGAAGAGCACGAUCACCACGAAUUUGAAAAUGUUGUUGCUUUAUCUGUGACUUGUCCUGGUGCCAGUCAUCUUGGAGAUGGGCCCGCAAAUCGAGUUCCCAGUGCAAUGGAAGAAGGGGAAAAGUGUUUUCCACAUCGUCAAGCAUCGUUGCAUGGCCUUGACCUUUACCGUCAACACUUACCGGGUGCUGAUCGGCUCCUUCCUGGCAGCUAUCGUGCCGCUGUACAGCAUGCUCUGCAUGGCGCACCCGAAUAGCUUUCUUCUCUGUGUUCCGAACGCCUAAGGCCACAUAAUUAAGGUACCCGACAACGUGGGCGUGUACUUCUUGGGCCUCUUGCCCUAUGUGCAAUCCGCCUGCAAUACGGAUUUUACGUGCUUGCCAAGGACACCUGGUUCGCCUACAACGAUCAAGUGCUGGCCACAGCCGAUACUUUCAACACCUGGCGCGUGCUCAUCUACAUGAAUCAGGUCAUCCAGCUCGUCUACUCAUUCGAGGGACUGCAGAGUUUCCUGCAGGCCCUCCGCACCUACAAGCUAGUCGCCGGAACAGACAACCAUCGCGUGUCUCAGCUGGAAGGGAACAUGUCAAAAUUCUGGUACAUCCCCAGCGUGAGCACCUUGGAUGUUUACCGUGCCUUCGAGGAACGUGCAUUUGGACCAAAUCCCCAUUAGCCACAAGCCCCCAAUCACAAGUCCUGCCAGCUGACCAAUCUGACCAACACAACCACUACGAAAUGAUCGGUGCACAAUCAAUGGAUUCUUUGGCUUGGAAAACUAAGAAAAAAAGCAAAACGAAAAAAUAUCACUGGAACGA